UACGAAGGGGGCUAGCGUUGCUCGGAAUGACUGGGCGUAAAGGGCGCGUAGGCGGCUUGUAUAGUCGGAUGUGAAAUUCCUGGGCUUAACCUGGGGGCUGCAUACGAGACGUAUGGGCUUGAGUGCGGAAGAGGGUCGUGGAAUUCCCAGCGUAGAGGUGAAAUUCGUAGAUAUUGGGAAGAACACCGGUGGCGAAGGCGGCGACCUGGUCCGUGACUGACGCUGAGGCGCGAAAGCGUGGGGAGCGAACAGG
rnacentral:rRNA from 1 species